rnacentral:rRNA from 1 species
GAUCAUGCUCAGGAUGAACGCUAGCUACAGGCUUAACACAUGCAAGUCGAGGGGCAGCAUGAACUUAGCUUGCUAAGUUUGAUGGCGACCGGCGCACGGGUGAGUAACACGUAUCCAACCUGCCGAUGACUCGGGGAUAGCCUUUCGAAAGAAAGAUUAAUACCCGAUGGCAUAGUUCUUCCGCAUGGUAGAACUAUUAAAGAAUUUCGGUUCAUCGAUGGGGAGUGCGUUCCCAUUAGG